rnacentral:misc_RNA from 1 species
ACUGCCUGGUAAGCCUUGAUGAGGGGAAGAUCAAUAAUGGAGGGAUUAUUAGCCUGGAUGCCAGAAAUGGAUUCAAGCAAACCAAAGCCUUGAAAGGAUUGUCUGACGGUGAGAGAAGCAUAAGUAUCAUUAGUGACCAAGAAAAUUGGCCAAGUGAGUCUCACACAAUUGAAUCCCAUGGACACAAUCUUCUUGGCAAUCUCAUCCAUGGGUUGCUUGCUCAGCCCCUCAGCCACCACUACCUCUAGAUGUGACACCCAGUUCACGCAUGCUAGCUUCACUCUUUUGCCGUUCUCGUCCACGAUCCACCGUGAAC